rnacentral:piRNA from 1 species
UAUUAUCUUUGUUUGCAUUCA